UGAUUGGGUAAAAAAUUAGACUUAAAUUUUAGUUAACCGAAACUCGGUCCAAUUAG
rnacentral:tRNA from 1 species